GGUCAAGUAGAAAAGGGCGCACGGUGAAUGCCUAGGCACUAACAGCCGAUGAAGGACGUGACGAACUACGAAAAGCUUCGGGGAGCGGUAAGUACGCAGUGAUCCGGAGAUGUCCGAAUGGGGGGACCCCAC
rnacentral:rRNA from 1 species